GGAGGCUCCUGGGCCCGGGCUGCCCCAGGCAGGCUGGCCUUUAAGGGCGGACCCCUGUCGCCCAAAGGGAGUCGUUCUCCCCUCGCCUCUUUUCUUACCUAAACCCAUCCCUACACACACACACACACACACACACACACACACACACACACACACACACUCACACAGCUUGGCGUGUUGUUUAAAACAGGUGGAAGACCUCUGUAAUGAUAUUAUGCCUUUCAAUAAAAAUUUUAUGAGGUGUAUUUGAUUAUAGAUUAAUGUGUCCCUAAUAAAACGGACGGAUGGAGCAGCUCGGAGUGCCCCUCCCUCUACCGCGCUCACACUCCCGGGGCAGCCACAUGUCCUUGAUCCACCCCCUUUCCAGUUUUCCCCUUGAGAGGUAAGGCCGGGCAGCCUUGAAUCUGAGAGAAAUGC
ensembl:antisense Gm28793 predicted gene 28793